AUGUUGUGAUGUGGACACUUUCGUAGCAAAUCAUUCAAACGCUCCCAUGCUUCAUGCAAAGGUUCUCCCUUGCUUUGGGAAAAUUAAUAGAUAGAAGCUCUCAUAGCAU